ACAGUGUUCAAAAUGGAGGUCAAGUUGUUGUAGAUUCAACAGAAGGAUCAAUGGGAAAGAUUGGAGACCAGAAGAUACUUCGAAGGCUGGCUCAGAAUCAAGAAGCUGUAGGAAAAGUCGAUUAAGAAAGAAAGUAUUAUUCUUGCUUUCAUACAACACUUUGUUAUCUGUUUCACAUCAUGUUGUUUGAUGGUUUUUGCUUGAACGUAUCGCGUUAUAAUGCAGCUUGAGCAUGAGCUUAAACGAGCACGCCAGCAGGGUAUGUUCAUUGCUGGUGGAGUUUCUGGAGAUCAGGUGGAAAGGUAGGUUUUACCAAACUAUAUGUUAACACAACAAUCUGACACGAAUGAGAAGAUGAGAACCGUGCCUAUUGACUAGCACAUUGAGGUAUUGGUGUUCUUUUGGUCCAGACUCCAGAUCAUCAUAGAAAAGAAUGGCAGUUGCAGCAAAUGAUUCGAUUUGGAACAAAUAAUCUAAAGACUCAUGAGCUAACACACACGAGCAAGAAAGUGAAAAGAAAAGCAACUGGAUUCCUACUAGAGGAAUGGAGGGAACUCAAAUGACAUAUGGAAAUAACAAGAUGUUAAUAGCCUAUCAUGAAAUCGGUCAUGCAGUCUGGGCCGUCUGCGUGACUUAGGCGAAAAAAACAUUCUAGGUUCAAGUAGGGCAACAAAGCUACGGAAUUCCGCCUCUUUAGCAGUUUUCAACUGGUAGCAUCCAAGAUUGCUUUGCACUCCCUCAUCACUUCCGCAUCAAAGCCGACACGUGGUUAGCACCAGGUAUCACUCACACAUGACUAAGGCGUGUACUUUUUUUUUUUGAACGACGACUAAGGCACAGAACAUACAUUAGAGGUACAUGAGAAUCAAUUGAUGGUAAGGUAGUUUUACUUGGGAUGCAUAUCUAUUACAGGUAUUUUUUUGUGGACCCUUUAAGAACGUGUAAGUUUGUUGGGUUUGUUUGGCAUCCAUGAUGCAUUUUUUUUUCAUAUGUAAAAAAAGGUUUUGAUGUCUAAUAAUAUGCAAGUAAACUAUUCUU
rnacentral:lncRNA from 1 species